UAAGCCGGUCAUAGCGUUGGGGUGCGACCCAGUCCCAUUCCGAACCUGGAAGUCAAACCCAAUGUCGCUGCUGUGUUACUAAGGUACGAGAGUACUUGGGAAGCAGUGGUGCUGGCAUUC
rnacentral:rRNA from 1 species